rnacentral:lncRNA from 1 species
AUAGAACUUGUGUCAAAAGCGAAGUAAGGGUUGCCAAUAAAUUUAAUCAAUUGCCUGAUACAUCCCAAUGUUCACAAUCGUGAAUAUGACAGCUGUUCUAAGGAAACUCUCAACUCGUGUACUGAAAUAAAAACUUCCCCCAUUUUUCCAACCAAUAACCAAGGGAAAUAAUCCAAUCAUUAAAAAUAUGGGUAAACUCGGCCCAUGGACAACUGAGACCAUGGCACAACUCAAAAUCA